rnacentral:lncRNA from 1 species
GAGAACUCAAUUUAUAUAUUAACAUGUGACACUUGUGGCAUUCAGUAUGUGGGAGAAACAAUGGACAAAUUUAAUAUUCGGCUCAAUAACCAUCGUUCAUCGUACAAAACCAACAAAAACUGUCCUCUCACAAGACAUCUUCGUUCAACGAAACAUCCUUUUGAUAAUGUUACUUUCCAAAUUAUAGAAGUCAACACCGAGUGGGACACCACGGCGAGAAGGAGAAGAGAAAACUUUUGGAUCCACCAACUCCACACUUUAGAACCUGAUGGUCUUAACGAAAAAGACGAAAAAAGAUACAGGAAAGAUAAAGAAUAAUUUAAAACAAAGCAUCGUCCUUUUUAUCCCGUAAUAUUGGCCAAUGGACGUUGCUAACUUCAACUACCAAUUAUGUAUUUUCAAGGCAGCUAAAUCCAAGUGCAACAUAUACAUUGAGCUGCAAAAUUUUCUUAUUUUCAAGGCAGCUAAAUGCA